CUGUACCUUGUGAUUGAACAGAAUCUGAUCAGGAACCUUGGCCUGAAAGCUCGGCAGAGUGAUUCACUUUGAGAUAAUUUUUAUUUUUGGUGUGAGUUAAGGGCCUAACUUUUUCGUGUGUGUAUAUGAUAUCCAAUCUAUACAAAUGACUAAAAAGCACCAGUGGUCUAUCAAUUUUGUUGAUCCUUUCAAAAAACCAGCUCCUGGAUUCAUUAAUUUUUUGAAGGGUUUUUUGUGUCUCUAUUUCCUUCAGUUCUGCUCUGAUUUUAGUUAUUUCGUGCCCUCCCUUGGCCACCUUCUCUUCCUGGUCCUGCUUCCCUACUUUCCAAUUAGUUUUUCCUAAGAGCAGUUUCUACCAGGGGAUUUUCACUUUCACAUGAAUUCUUCCCCAAAGAUCUGCUUCUAGAGAACACAGCCUAAGACAUAAAAUAUAGAUGAGCAGCCCACCCAUUUUCUGAUUAGCCCUCUGGCUUUCUGCUGGAAUGGGAGCACUGCUGUGAGCCUCACCCUCCUUGGCUGUGGCCCUGACCCACUCCAUGGGGGCUUCAUUCUCU
rnacentral:lncRNA from 1 species